UACAGAGGUCUCAAGCGUUGUUCGGAUUUAUUGGGCGUAAAGAGCUCGUAGGCGGCUUGUCGCGUCGUUCGUGAAAACCUGCAGCUCAACUGCAGGCUUGCAGUCGAUACGGGCAGGCUAGAGUUCGGUAGGGGAGACUGGAAUUCCUGGUGUAGCGGUGAAAUGCGCAGAUAUCAGGAGGAACACCGGUGGUGUAAACGGCUUUCUGGACCAUAACUGACGCUGAGGCACGAAAGCGUGGGUAGCAAACAGG
rnacentral:rRNA from 1 species